UUAGUUAAAGCUAAAAAUUAGCAAUUUAUUGUUAAUAAAUUAUUUGAAUAUUUAUAAUUCUAACUAAA